rnacentral:rRNA from 1 species
UACGUAGGGGGCGAGCGUUGUCCGGAAUUAUUGGGCGUAAAGAGCUCGUAGGCGGUCCUUUAAGUCAGAUGUGAAAUCUCAGGGCUCAACCCUGAAACUGCAUCUGAUACUGGGGGACUUGAGGUAGGUAGGGGAAGGUGGAAUUCCUGGUGUAGCGGUGAAAUGCGCAGAUAUCAGGAGGAACACCCGUGGCGAAGGCGGCCUUCUGGGCCUUACCUGACGCUGAGGAGCGAAAGCGUGGGGAGCGAACAGGAUUAGAAACCCCCGUAGUCC